CGCGGACAGGCGCGGGAUCCCCGGCGCACCAGAUUGUGGGGGUCAGGACCCGAUCGGGCCUUCCCGCACUCCUCAACAGAACACUUCAUCCUUUCAAAACAGAGUGGUUCGCAACAGUAAAGCUCCUCAACAAAACCACUCACCUGCAAAGAGGCCACUAGCACCCGCCGCCGCUCCUCCUGGUCACAGGACAGCCCGUGCCUCCAGGAAUGACUGCAUUGAUGACCCAAUUCUGCAGUGGUCCAAUUUGUUAGAGAGAAACCCCAAACCAUGGCAUUGCACCAUUCAGGU
rnacentral:lncRNA from 1 species